rnacentral:rRNA from 1 species
AGCGAACGCUGGCGGCAUGCCUUACACAUGCAAGUCGAACGGUAACAGGUCUUCGGAUGCUGACGAGUGGCGAACGGGUGAGUAAUACAUCGGAACGUGCCUAGUAGUGGGGGAUAACUACUCGAAAGAGUGGCUAAUACCGCAUGAGAUCUACGGAUGAAAGCAGGGGAUCGCAAGACCUUGUGCUACUAGAGCGGCCGAUGGCAGAUUAGGUAGUUGGUGGGAUAAAAGCUUACCAAGCCGACGAUCUGUAGCUGGUCUGAGAGGUCGAUCAGCCAAACUGGGACUGGGACACGGCCCGGACUCCUACGGGAGGCAGCAGUGGGGAAUUUUGGACAAUGGGCGCAAGCCUGAUCCAGCAAUGCCGCGUGCAGGAUGAAGGCCUUCGGGUUGUAAACUGCUUUUGUACGGAACGAAAAGCCCUGGGUUAAUACCCUGGGGUCAUGACGGUACCGUAAGAAUAAGCACCGGCUAACUACGUGCCAGCCGCCGCAGUAAGAC